rnacentral:rRNA from 1 species
GAUGAACGCUAGCGAUAGGCUUAACACAUGCAAGUCGAGGGGCAGCAUGGUCUUAGCUUGCUCAGACUGAUGGCGACCGGCGCACGGGUGCGUAACGCGUAUGCAACUUGCCUCACAGAGGGGGAUAACCCGUCGAAAGACGGACUAAUACCGCGUACACUUGGGAUAGGGCAUCCUGACCCAAGGAAAUGAAAUUCGCUGUGAGGUAGGCAUGCGUCCCAUUAGCUAGUUGGUGAGGUAACGGCUCACCAAGGCGACGAUGGGUAGGGGAACUGAGAGGUUGAACCCCCACACUGGUACUGAGACACGGACCAGACUCCUACGGGAGGCAGCAGUGAGGAAUAUUGGUCAAUGGGCGAGAGCCUGAACCAGCCAAGUCGCGUGAAGGAUGACUGUCUUAUGGAUGGUAAACUUCUUUUAGACGGGAAUAACAAGAGCCACGUGUGGCUCCCUGCAUGUACCGUAUGAAUAAGCAUCGGCUAACUCCGUG